GCCCUCCCCGCGGAUGGGAGCUGCUGGAUGUGCCCUGUUGCAGCCCCGCAGCUUCCCCUGCAGAGCCCUGGCAGUCCAUCCCUCCUCAGAGAGGAGUUCCCGCCUGCACUGAAAGAAUAGCUCAACAUCUGUCAUCCCAUUCUCUGCCAUGGCCCAAAAUCAGGAAGACUACAGCUGUCCUGUUCCUUUCAGAUACUUCUGGGAUAGCGAGGUUGGGAAUUAUACUACAACUGCUGAGCGCUGGAUGAAUCUUUUGUAAUAUGUCUGCAUGGAAAAGAGGGAAAGGAGUGGGGAAGAAAGAAAGAGGCUGGGAAGAAUAUGUUACCACCUUAAAAAUGUUUAACCACAUACCUUCAUCAGUUCAUUUGUUUAAUAUCUAUCAAAUUAGUAAAAAUAUAUAUAAAUAAUAGAAAUAUAUAUGUAAUAGAAAUUCAAGACAAUUUUUUGAGUGAAUUAUACUGUUCUCUUACAGUAGCAGUCAAGUUAGCAGUCAUUGGUAGAUAGUGUGUUUCUUUUCUUACAACCACAAUUAAGAGCUACGGCAAUAAACCUCAGAGUCCCAACCAGUGGCAAUUACUUUAG